UACGUAGGGGGCGAGCGUUGUCCGAAGUUACUGGGCGUAAAGCGCGCGUAGGCGGGUUGGCAAGUCUGCUGUGAAAGCCCGGGGCUUAACUCCGGAGGGUCGGUGGAUACUGCCAGUCUUGAAGGUGCUAGGGAGAGAUGGAAUUACCGGUGUAGCGGUGAAAUGCGUAGAUAUCGGGUAGGAACACCAGUGGCGAAGGCGGUCUCUUGGGGGCAUUCUUGACGCUGAGGCGCGAAAGCUGGGGGG
rnacentral:rRNA from 1 species